UCUGAAAAAGCCAAACUCAUCGUGAGGUGAGGACGGAAAGCUACGGGUCUUAGUGCAAGACAGCCGGGUUGCCUGCA
rnacentral:ncRNA from 1 species